GACAAUUCCUGCAAUUUUGGGGAUCUGUGGGAGAAUUAUUUACAAGCUCUUGUCCCUUCUUUUUCUCAUUCAUCAUCAGAUGACCAGUCCUGAGGCCCACGCUCCAAUUUUAGUCUCUACACUCCCAGCUCUGAUGCCUUCUUUCUCUUUUCAGCCUGUUACUGUUAUCUUUCUCUUAAGAGACUUCUAGUGGGAUCCCUUGAUACUGGGAGCACUGGUUCCAUUCUGAGACUGUGGUGUUGUCCUUAUGCCAGCUGUGGGGUCCAAGCACGAGGAUCCCAAGUUCUCCUGAGCAUCCUAUGGCACAUACCCUGCUCCUGUCUGAUCAGACAGCUGAGAUGCCCUGCAGUCAGGGCCCAGUGCCUGAUUAAAAGAAAGAGGAGAGACAACAGCUGAAGGGAGAGUCAAUCUAUAGAUUUAGGCAGUGCUGGGGGAGAGAGAAAAACUCAGUUUUUCUUUGCCUUCCCUUCAGAAAACUUAAAACUUACUGAAACUAUCAAACAGGUUGAAAAAUAUUCAAGAGCGUAUUUCUUUUUUUGUUUAUUUUAUAAACAAUUUUAUUUUUACAUAUCACCUCCCCCCAUUCUCUUGCUCUCCUAUCCUCCCAUGCCAAGUGUGUAUUUCUCAAGAGAGAGCUGUCAGUCACAUGUCAGGGGACAGCAUUUGUCAGGGUCUAGUGUCUCUGUCCUCAUUCUCACAGGAUUUAUCUGGACACUAAGGGACACAUGGAGAGUACUUGAGUCCGAGCUCACCAGUGAUGGGAAGAGACAUGACUUUCACCUGCCACAGUCCCCAAGCACUGUGAGCCUCAUGUGUGUCAUCGGCUCUGCAGUUCUGACUAUACUUCACACCUCUCUUGGUUCUCUACAGCCACUCUGCUCCCAGGAUUCCUCCCAACUGUGUGUCACAGUGCUGCUUCCUUCCUGUACCCCACAGCAACCUUCCCAACCACCCCUGUCUCUCCCCUGCCCUCAAUGCAGGUUCUGUAGCCAAGUCACUUUAACAAUGUCCAUGACGUGUCACAGCACAGACUGUACAGACCUAGGCCAAAUGACUUCCUGCCCUACCCACACAUCAUGACCAACACUCCAAGUCCCAGUGCUGCCAAGAUCAUCUGUGUGUUGCUAGGUUUUUUUAUGACUUCCUCUUCUACAUCAAAUAUCACUGUUGGCCUGAAGUAUGCGAGAACAAAAGGUGCUCUCUUUCAUAUAUGGCUUUGUGGCAGGGGAUGGGCUACUCAAGGGUAUGUUGGCAGAUGUUGGCUUGCCUCCAGAGGUUUAGAGCACAAUGAAUAUAUGGAUGCCUACAGUCAUUGGUGGAACCCUCCAUUGACCCCCUCAUGCUGCCCCAGCUGUGAAACUCCGCACUUUCCUUUAGGAGAGGGCAUAGGCUGUAUCCAGCUUGUGCUUGUGCAUUGAAUUCAGCACCUGUCCUCUGCUCCCCAGAGCUGUGGGUGUGGGAGACCUCUGCUCAGAAGCCUGUGUGAGUGACCCAGCCCUGCAUCAGACCCGUCUGCUCAGGUGACACUUGUCCCAAACCUCAUGCGAUUCCCUCCUGACGCCUCCCACCUGGAUGGCCUCUUUUACAGGAGGUUUGAACUGGGGCCUCACGAUUCCUGUCCUGAGUCUUCUCAGGAUCUGUAUGAUCCAACAGGAAGCAUGGUGAUCUCAUUUCCUCAAACACAGUUUCCUAUCCUGUAUGGAUUGGGGCCUUUCAUUCUAACAGACCAUCACCCUUUCUGUCCUACAGGUCGUUCUCUAGUUGCAAACCCACAAUCUGUGAGGUUGUAUGAAUCGUUUGUGGUGAAUACAGGCCUGAACAGAACACACAUCUUCAGCCCUGCUUGUGACGAUUCCUGUGAGUGAUCUGAGAAUCUUAGUGCAUGGAACAAGCUCUGUAGAGAUGACUCAACUAUCAGGAACUGAUCACCUGCUCCCUUCACCUGGAUUCAGGACUCCUGUUGUCACUGGAGGACAGAGUCCAUUGAUCAGACUGCACCAUUUGUCUUCUUUUAAUAAAUCUGGUCCUAUCUCUGG